AGUAAUGCCUAGGAAUCUGCCUGGUAGUGCGGGACAACGUUUCGAAAGGAACGCUAAUACCGCAUACGUCCUACGGGAGAAAGCAGGGGACCUUCGGGCCUUGCGCUAUCAGAUGAGCCUAGGUCGGAUUAGCUAGUUGGUGAGGUAAUGGCUCACCAAGGCGACGAUCCGUAACUGGUCUGAGAGGAUGAUCAGUCACACUGUAACUGAGACACGGUCCAG
rnacentral:rRNA from 1 species